AGUGAUUUAGUUAUUAAAAGUGGUUAAUUAUAGAAUUAUGGUUAGAAUCUGGAGAAUCACGGGAAAGUAUAUAAGAGUUGUAGAAGUUAAUUAAGAUGCCAGAGUGUGAGAGUCGUAAGCCGAGGGCCAUCACUGUGAUAGUGUGAGCUGAGGUAAGCUUGGUGCUAUCUCUUUUCUUUUGUUUUUUAUUUUCUUUGAAUAAGAGGAUUGAGAGUUUCUGAAUAUUGUAAAGUGAAUUAUGGAAUGGAAAUGUGAUUGGUAUUAUUUGAGAAGAAAAAAGAUUAAAUGCUGAAAUCUGGUUGUAGUUCAGUAGAGAGAAUGAGUCUGUAUUUGUGUGAAACACUGUAAUAUGAAUGGUAGUUCUGUGUGAAGAAUUCCAGUGAUUGGAACGAGGAUAAUUGUGUGCUGAAAGCUGUGAGGGUGCAGUAUUAUAGUUGAAGAUUGUGAG
rnacentral:lncRNA from 1 species